rnacentral:lncRNA from 1 species
GGGAAUUGGAAACCAAUUUUCUUUCUUGACCAACAAAUAAAAGGCAAACAAAAGGGGGGAUUUAUUGAAUCCAAUAUACAAAAUAUGAAAUAAACACUAAGUUGGCUGUUAUUAAAUAAACUCUUGACUACAAAUUAGAAACUAAAACAAUUAUAAGAAGAAUUCCUAGUUGAUAAAAUAACUAACUCUAGUAUUACAAAUGACUAUAGAUACAAGCAUUCAUUUCACCUAAAAUUCGGCAAAUCAGUUAUGGUUGUCGAAAACGUUCCGAUAACUAAUCCUUCCUUAU